GCGGCGACGAUGAGCACCACGACGAGCACCACGACGAGCACGAGCAUCCCACUUGAUGAUGUCUUACUUUCCUCUUUAGAGAGAUGGAAAGCUUCAAGUGAGUGCUCUUCAAGCCUCGAUAAAUGGCAAAUAAUGAGGUGGAAUCGAACGCACUUCGUGGAGUAGAAUGGGAAGUUGUUUCACCUACAACAUCGGCUGCUGCUGCUGCUGCUGCUCCUAGUACACAUGCUAAAGACACAAAUGCAUUUUGGUCAUUAUUGGACAGCAAUGGCAGAAGGAAAUGUGGCAGGUUUUAUCAUUAAGAUGGUGAAGGGACAUCAAUAUUGCUAGUAAUUUAAAGGGUGGAACUAACUAUUGCACUUGUUAAUAUAAAUUGUAGUAAUUGGUUGUGAAUUGUGAUACAAUUACUUUGAUCAUAUGCAAUGUUUCAAGUUAAAAGUUUUUUCUUUGCAUA